CCGCCGGCCCCGCCCCGCUCCAGCUCCGGCAGCGGCGGCGGCGGGGGUGCGCGCGCGCGCGGGCGUUGCAUCUGGCGCCUUCUUCGGGGCUCCGCGUCGCCACGACAACCGGCCUCGCCGCGGCGCCUCUGCCAUGGAAAAAUUACAGACUGACCAACAAUGAACAAAAAGUUUUACAAACAGUUUUACAAUGUAUCUUCAGCAAUCUAAAUUCAGAAGGCACACAAUUUGCGAAGAACUGAAUAGUUGCUGUGACUGCACAGAACCACCUCCGGCUGAGCUUCUUUCCCACCAAGAAGCAAAGCAAAUAGUUACCAAGUAUCUGGUAUGUGCUGAUGGAAGGAAGGAGAAGAUACCAAGUUUUCUCAAAUAAUGAUGAAGCCCUUAUUAACAAAAAAUUGCCCAAAGAACUUCUGUUAAGAAUAUUUUCUUUCUUGGACAUAGUUACUUUGUGUCGAUGUGCACAAGUUUCCAAGGCAUGGAAUGUUUUAGCUCUGGAUGGAAGCAACUGGCAAAGAAUAGACCUUUUUAACUUUCAAACAGAUAUAGAGGGUCGUGUUGUGGAAAAUAUAUCGAAAAGGUGUGGUGGGUUCCUGAGACAACUUAGUCUGAGAGGAUGUCUUGGUGUUGGAGACUCCUCUUUGAAGACCUUUGCACAGAACUGUAGAAACAUUGAACACUUAAAUCUAAAUGGGUGCACAAAAAUUACUGACAGCACGUGUUACAGUCUUAGCAGAUUCUGUUCCAAGCUGAAACAUCUGGAUCUGACAUCUUGUGUAGCCAUCACAAACAGCUCUUUGAAAGGUUUAAGUGAGGGUUGCAGAAAUCUGGAACAUUUGAAUCUUUCCUGGUGUGAUCAGAUUACGAAGGAUGGUAUUGAAGCACUGGUGAAAGGGUGUAGUGGACUAAAAGCUCUAUUUCUUAGAGGUUGCACACAGUUAGAAGAUGAAGCACUGAAACACAUUCAAAAUCACUGUCAUGAACUUGUAAUCCUGAAUUUGCAGUCUUGCACACAAAUUUCAGAUGAAGGCAUUGUAAAAAUAUGUAGAGGAUGCCACAGACUUCAGUCACUGUGUGUUUCUGGUUGUAGCAACCUUACAGAUGCUUCUCUCACAGCACUUGGUCUAAACUGUCCAAGGCUGAAGAUUUUGGAAGCUGCGAGGUGUUCACAUCUUACAGAUGCUGGUUUUACCCUUUUAGCACGGAAUUGUCAUGAGCUGGAAAAGAUGGACUUGGAAGAAUGCGUUCUGAUAACUGACAGCACAUUGAUACAACUUUCUAUUCACUGUCCUAAGCUACAAGCAUUGAGCUUGUCUCACUGUGAAUUGAUCACUGAUGAUGGGAUUCUUCAUCUGAGCAACAGUACAUGUGGUCAUGAGAGGCUGCAAGUACUAGAGCUUGAUAACUGUCUUCUCAUCACUGAUGUGACUCUGGAACACCUGGAGAACUGCCACAACUUGGAGAGAAUUGAGCUAUAUGACUGUCAGCAAGUCACACGAGCUGGAAUCAAAAGAAUCAGAGAUGAGAGAACCAGGGAAUAUGGGAGACAAGAUACAGACAAGUCUUUCUUCAGUAGCCAGGAAUCCAUCUCUCCUCUGCAGCAGAACACAUACCUGUUUUGACAGAGAGCUCUUUGGCUGAUCAGUGCUAUAUUGGGAAAUAAGUGGGACCCCUGAACAGGCUCACCUACCUCAUGUGAAAGUUCACGCUUACUUUGCUCCAGUGACUCCCCCUCCUUCGGUAGGAGGGGGUGGACAGCGCCUCUGCAGAUGCUGUGUUAUUCUUUGACAGUAAGUGCAUCACACAGAAAAUCUGAAUUUUUUUUUUUGUUGUUGAAGAAAAGAAUUGGACUGAAGGUGUUUGGGAAGAGUCAAGUUCCUGACAGUCGUAAUGGUGAUGUUUGGUUUUGUUUGUGACAAGAAAAGCACUUUUCCAGGUAAAAAAUAUCUUAACGUCAUAUGCAGAUGUGGUUUAAAUUGGUGAUAUUUGGUUUGUAUUGAUACCUCCAUCCUUCUGUUGGCAUGAGAACUGAAGUACUUUUUGGAGUGUGUGUGGGGGGGCAUUUCAGUGUAGCAGCUACUCAGUGGGAGUUCACUAAACCUGGGAUUUGCAUUUGUAAGCCCUACUCCAUGUGAAGUUCUAAUAUAAUGUGGAGCUCCAGUCCGUCACACACAAAAAAAUGAAACUGCUGUUCUGUAACAUACAAGACAGAUUAAAUAUCAGGUUUCAGGACAAAUCAGCUUUAGCAGAUGUUGACCAAAAAAUGCACGGUAAUCAUGAGCUCUUAUAGCAAAACAGUGUGUACUCUUUCAUGAUUCAGCUUCAUCUUUAAUUACAUAAUGGGCCACACUAGGUAAUGUCAAAAGGUAAAACAGUACCUCAAGCUAACUACAUAAAUAGAAAUUAUUUUUUUUUCAGAUUUUUUUUGAAGUUGGUCCAAUUGAACUGUGUGUUAGUAUAAAGCUUGCUGGUCACUGAAGCACAUUUUAUGCCCAAUGCCAUCAGCCUUUAAAGGGCUAAGAAAUCCACUAUGGUAGAGCUUGUGCACUCUACUGUAAUGGCUGCCACAGUCAUUCAUGGUGCUUGCUGUAAUGCCAUUACUGUGUGCUCUGUUACCUCCUCAGUUUGUAAUGAAAAGCUGCAACGGUUCUAGGAAGAGGGAUACAUGAUUUAUGCUUUUCUACAGAAUCUACAGUUGCACAAGGAAUUCAAUCCCAGCUGUUUGUGCUACCCAUUUUAGGGACUUAACAAGCAGUUGGACAAAUAAACCUGUAGGCAGGAGUUGAACCAAACCAAACCUGUUUUAAAAAUGUAAACUCUUCACAUCUGGGUUAUUUAAGAAGCUGCCAACUUCUUACUAAUAAUAAAAUCCAAGUAUUAACUCUUAAGGCCAUGCUUACAUCCUUAGUUUUUCAAUGCUAGAGGGUUAAAUAAACUUUUUUAUAUUAAGCCACCUAAUUAUCUAAGAUAGAUAAACUACUCAACAGUUCAGAAAGCUUUUCUGUGUAAGACUGAUUGUGUGUGUGUCUGUGUGUGUCUGUGUGUGUCUGUGUGUGUCUGUGUGUGUCUGUGUGUGUCUGUGUGUGUCUGUGUGUGUGUUUUAAGAGUUCAGGGCCUGUGUGUUUAUUCAAACCUAACAGAAAUACUGGCUUUAUUAAAAAGCAGUUGCUGAAACUACUGGGUAACACUGCAGUUUCCCCAACAUUUAAAAAUACUUUUAAAAAGUGAGUAUGACCAUUAACAAAAUUCUAUGGCCAAACAACUGCUGUGUUGCAUUUGCGCUUCAUACAUUCACAGAUGAUACAGUUGUCAAAUUCAGAUCUGAACAUUGAGGAUAAAUUGAAGAUUAUACUGCAGUACAUGAAUGUCUUUAAUACUGCAAAAUAAGCCAACUAUGGCUUGUUUUGCACACUACUGAAGGAGUGUUGUUACAAUCAUACUUAGAUUUCCAUUAAGAUAUUGCUAUAAUGGAGAAUUUUAAGCAGAUUUUAUUCUCAACUGUACCAGCAAAGUCACUGGUACUAGUAUGUCAAAAUGUUUUGCCUUUUGUUGGCUUAUUUUUUUUCUAAGAACAUAAUAAACCUUGUAAGUCUAUGGCAUUAAAGAUGUACAAAAACAAAUGGAACCUACUCUGAUAUAGGACACUUAAAUAAACAAUCAGCUGAUGUCAAA